rnacentral:rRNA from 1 species
GACGAACGCUGGCGGCAAGCUUAACACAUGCAAGUCGAACGCCGUAGCAAUACGGAGUGGCAGACGGGUGAGUAACACGUGGGAACGUGCCUUUCGGUUCGGAACAACUGAGGGAAACUUCAGCUAAAACCGGAUACGCCCUUCGGGGGAAAGUUUACGCCGAAAGAUCGGCCCGCGUCAGAUUAGGUAGUUGGCGGGGUAAUGGCCCACCAAGCCGAUGAUCUGUAGCUGUUCUGAGAGGAAGAUCAGCCACACUGGGACUGAGACACGGCCCAGACUCCUACGGGAGGCAGCAGUGGGGAAUAUUGGACAAUGGGCGCAAGCCUGAUCCAGCUAUGCCGCGUGGAUGAGGAAGGCCUUCGGGUUGUAAAGUCCUUUCGGCGGGGAAGAUAAUGACGGUACCCGCAGAAGAAGCCCCGGCUAAUUUCGUGCCAGCAGCCGCGGUAAAAC